AAAAAAAAAGAAUAUCUGCAUGUAGAUCAUAUUUUCUUGUCCUUUAGUGAUAAAAAGUGUGUGAUCCAUAAAGCAGUCCAUGCUAUCAAUUUAUGAGCGUUCUAUCUACAAAACACACAUUUUAAAAAGUAAUUAUUUUCUUAAAAAU
rnacentral:sRNA from 1 species